CGCUGCUGGAAGGAGCAGAACAAUUCCUCCUCCGAGGCUUGGCGUGUGUGCUCCACCGUGAAGUUGAUCCCUCCUCCAGCCUGGUGAAUGUCCAUUUACCUUCAUUGCAAACUCGUGGACUCUUUCUCCCGCCCACACCGGAUGUGUGUGCGCAUCCACCAAACCUGCAGUCAAAGGAUCUCACAUGCAAACUCUAGAUACAGUGAAGGACCUUGACUACAGACCUCACCUUCUGCCUCUUGAGUGUUGGGACUGCACACCUGGAUCAGUAUCCAGGAUUUUUAAGAAAAAGAGUCUACAGAAUCUUCUGGAAGCAGUAAAGCAAAG